ACCUCUGGGAAACGCCCGAGGGCCCCGCGCAAGCGCCCGGCAAGCAGAACAGACCCGCGGGCAGCUCCCCCUCACAGUGAUUGACGAGAGAGCCGCCCAAUGGAGCUGCCGAGCCGGGCCGGGUCCGCCCAGCAGCGCCGCGCUGUAAACACCGGCCGAGGGGCGCUGCGGAACGGAUAAGAACGUGAGUUAGCGAGUGGCUUUGCUGAGAAGCUGGUGCCCAGUGAUGUCAACUCACCCCAGUCCUUUUUGGCCCCCACCACAUUGCUCUUGCCUGACCCCCAGAGACGCCUGAAAUCUUCAGUGUGUAUCUUCUGUGAACCUUGAUAGUAACUAUUGUGUAGAUGAAGUCUCUCUGCUUGUUCCAGCUCACAGCUGGCUCAAAGUCCUGGAUCACUCUUAGUUCCUUCAGUAAAUAACUCGUUGCAAUUAUA